GGGGUCAGAUGGCAGGGGUUACAGGGGUCAUUCAGAGGUUAUGAGGUCAACAUGAUGACACAGAUGUGUACAUGCUACUAUUGUGUACGGGUGUCCCCGUUCCUGGAGUACCAUCCUGUAGGUUUUAACCCCAACCCUGUUCCUGGAGUACCAUCCUGUAGGUUUUAACCCCAACCCUGUUCCUGGAGUACCAUCCUGUAGGUUUUAACUCCAACCCUGUUCCUGGAGUACCAUCCUGUAGGUUUUAACUCCAACCCUGUUCCUGGAGUACCAUCCUGUAGGUUUUAACCCCAACCCUGUUCCUGGAGUACCAUCCUGUAGGUUUUAACUCCAACCCUGUUCCUGGAGUACCAUCCUGUAGGUUUUAACCCCAACCCUGUUCCUGGAGUACCAUCCUGUAGGUUUUAACCCCAACCCUGUUCCUGGAGUACCAUCCUGUAGGUUUUAACUCCAACCCUGUUCCUGGAGUACCAUCCUGUAGGUUUUAACUCCAACCCUGUUCCUGGAGUACCAUCCUGUAGGUUUUAACUCCAACCCUGUUCCUGGAGUACCAUCCUGUAGGUUUUAACUCCAACCCUGUUCCUGGAGUACCAUCC